GUCAUUAUUAACUGAACAGCUGCACCCAAAAAGUAUUGAUUAAUAGAUCAGCGUCAGGCUACAAGGGGGCCAACAUCAAUAUGGUGCAGGCAAUGUCCUAGCCUGCCCUCUGCCCUGUUCAGAAUUUCUUCCAACUGCUGAAUGAACACCCAGGAAGUAUUUGCAUCUCAAAAACUGGGAGUGAUAGUUAAUAUUUAGGAUCACAAAAUCGAGAUUGAAGAAACUUCAAUAAAAUAGCAUUAUGAAGUAGAGCAUGAUGUAUGCUGGAUCAGAAAAUAAAUGCUAUAAUAUGGUACAAAGAGAAGAGCUGGCCUAAUAUUGUUUUUAAUGGAGUAAGCGCAUGAGCAAACAAAAACCGGAAGGAAGUUAGUACUCAUAUAGUUAGAAAUAAAGAGAAAGGGAAACUGAUAUGAACUCAGCCUGUAUUUUGGGCCAAGUGCGAUCACAGGCAUUUUGUAGAUCUUAAGGAGUCGAACACAAUCCUAGACUAUGUUAACAGGAUUGAGUGGCCAGAAUAAAGGGUGGACUAUUACAUGGUCUGCUGAGACGUUCAAACAAUAUGUGGAAUAUUGUGCCCAACCAACUGGAGCCCCCCAAUUCCCCUCUUCCUGACAUUCAUCCAGACUCAUCUGUUUCUUCUCCUUUUCCUUUGGGACGUCUAAUACCAUAUUUUAACACAUAUGACUGUAAGUAUCAUUCUCUUGACUAGCAGAGUUUACCUUCUCAUAUC
rnacentral:lncRNA from 1 species